CCUACGGGAGGCAGCAGUGAGGAAUAUUGGUCAAUGGCCGGAAGGCUGAACCAGCCAUGCCGCGUGAAGGUCAGUGCCCCAUGGGCGUUAAACUUCUUUUGUGCGGGAGCAAUAAUGGUCACGUGUGGCUAGACUAGAGCACCGUACGAAUAAGCAUAGGCUAACGCCGUGGCAGCAGCCGCGGGAAUACGGGGGAUGCAAGCGUUGUGCGGCUUUUUUGGGUUUUAAGGGUGCGUGGGCUGUGAGGUAAGUGAGCGGGGGAAUGCCCCCGGUGAACGGGGUGAAGUGCCAUUGAUACUGGCUUGCUGGAGUGCAGAUGCGGUGGGAGGAAUGUGUGGUGUAGCGGUGAAAUGCGUAGAUAU
rnacentral:rRNA from 1 species